rnacentral:rRNA from 1 species
UACAGAGGUCUCAAGCGUUGUUCGGAUUCAUUGGGCGUAAAGGGUGCGUAGGCGGCGCGGUAAGUCGGAAUCGGUGAAAAUCUCGGAGCUUUAACUUCGAAAACUGCAUUCGAUACUGCCGGUGCUUGAGGACUGGAGAGGAGACUGGAAUUUACGGUGUAGCGGUGAAAUGCGUAGAUAUCGUAAGGAAGACCAGUGGCGAAGGCGGGUCUCGUGGACAGUUCCUGACACUGAGACACGAAGGCCAGGGGAGCAAACGGGG